GAGGGGCUUGCGGGAGGGGGGCGCCAGUGUUCGGGGCCGUUUUGGCGGCUAUGCAGGAUUGGCAGGAGCUGCGAUGCUCACACUUGCCUCGCCGACCGCCAUUUCACAUCCAGCAGAGGAGGCGGGGGCAGCCGCUGAGACGGUUUUUCACAAGGAAAUGACCUCAUUCUUGAUGGCUGCUGCUAACUUAUGGUGAGAUGCUGGGUCCCUGCCCAAUACCACAUGGACAUCCAAUCAAUUUACCCAGGGACAAGUCCACUCAAGAGCAUCAUUUAGAAGAGGGAAAAGGCACUGGGGUUAUUUGUUUUUGGAGUAUGUGCUUAAGGAAAUCUAGAGUAUUCCCACGAGCAUUCUGCUGAGAUGAACAAUCAGAUGACCUCGUGUGAGAUUUGGAGGAGAGAAGGAAAUGGAGAGCAUGCGUCUGCCGCUUCUGUGGUUUCUGUCGGCUUUCUCCAUAUUUACGUGCUUGUAACUCUGGCAUGACCUUUGCUCCAGUCUCUACCAGAGGGCGGUGCCUGGAUUGAAGUGGAAAAGCCCUGUUUUCCAGCCAUGACCCAGGGAGCAAGCACUGACUCCUCAGGGGAACAGGAGACCUGCCAACUAGGACCCUGGGAGCCCCCAUGCUGGCAGUGCCCUGGGUCAUCUCAGGCUCAUCAGCAAAUCCUGGGGGGAGAGCGGGGCUGGAGGGCGAAGAAGCCCAGGAGAGUUCCUGGCUCAGAACCCCUCUCUGAGGCUCCCAAUACAGAGCCCAGGCCCCACACCCAGGGCCUCUGAGUAUUUUUGUUUAUUGUAUGUAAAAUACUAGUGUAUUUUUGUUUAAGUCUCACAGGUAAACAGGUUCUCUCAUACUUUGCCAAGGGAAAUGUGAUCUGUGCAAUUUGGCAAUAACUAUCAGAAUUUUAAAAGCUUAUGCCCUUUGACCUAGUAAUUUCACUUCUAAGAAUUUCCCCUGCAGAGAUAUGUAUAUCUUGUAUGAAAUGAAGAGGCUACGAAGACAGGCAACGCCGCAGUGUUUAUAAUAGCGAAGACCAGACACAACCCACAUGUCUAAAGGUUCUGAUUUUUAAAACUGUAGUAUAUCUGUACAAUGAGCACUCCACAUCCUUUAAGAAUGAGGAAGGGCUGUGUGAACUGAAAUGGAACUAUCUCUAAGAUUUAUUAAGUUAAAAAAAUUCAAGAGUAGCACAGUGUGUAGGGUAUGCCAUCAUUUGUAUGAUAUAAGGUCGUAUAUCUGCCAUCUCAAAUGAGGAACAGUGGUUGCCUCUGGGAAGGGAAUUGGAUGGCUAGGAAUGGGGUAGGAAAGAGGUUUGCUUUUCAGAACAUUUUAUACUAUUUAAGUUUUGUAACAAGUGCAUCUAUUUUGACUUAAAAGAUAAAAAAUGAAAAGGAAA
rnacentral:lncRNA from 1 species